UUUCCGUAGGUGAACCUGCGGAAGGAUCAUUGUCGAAACCUGCCCAGCAGAACGACCCGCGAACUUGUAUAAACAACUGGGGGCGGGGGGGCGUUCUUGCCCCGUGCCCCCGAACGGCGGGGAGACACUCGUGCCUUCUUGCCGAACAACGAACCCCGGCGCGGUCUGCGCCAAGGAACUUCAACUAAAGAGUGCCUCCGGUCGCCUCGGAAACGGCGUGCGUGCCGGAGGCGAAUCUUGUGCAAAACCAUAACGACUCUCGGCAACGGAUAUCUCGGCUCUC
rnacentral:misc_RNA from 1 species